AUUGAACGCUGGCGGCAGGCCUAACACAUGCAAGUCGAGCGGAACGGCGGACGGGUGGGUAAUGCCUAGGAAUCAGCCUGGCAGUGGGGGAGAACGUCCGGAUAGAGGCGGUAAUAACGCAUACUAUCAGACAAGCCUGGCUCGGAUUAGCUAGUUGGUGGGUUAAAUGCCUACCAAGGCGACGAUCCGUAACUGGUCUGAGAGGGGGAUCAGUCACACUGGAACUGAGACACGGUCCAGACUCCUACGGGAGGCAGCAGUGGGGAAUAUUGGACAAUGGGCGAAAGCCUGAUCCAGCCAUGCCGCGUGUGUGAAGAAGGUCUUCGGAUUGUAAAGCACUUUAAGCUGGGAGGCGUUACCAACAGAAGAAGCACCGGCUAACUUCGUGCCAGCAGCCGCGGUAAUUC
rnacentral:rRNA from 1 species